rnacentral:rRNA from 1 species
CCUACGGGUGGCAGCAGUGAGGAAUAUUGGUCAAUGGCCGCAAGCCUGAACCAGCCAAGCCGCGUGAAGGAUGAAGGCGCAGAGCGUCGCAAACCUCUUUUGUCGGGGGACAAAAGGCCGCACGGGUCCGGUUCUGAGGGUACCCGAAGAAAAAGCAUCGGCUAACUCCGUGCCAGCAGCCGCGGUAAUACGGAGGAUUCGAGCGUUAUCCGGAUUCAUUGGGUUUAAAGGGAGGGAAGGGGGGCCUUUAAGCCGGCGGGGAAAGCGCGGGGGUAAACCCCGGCGAGCCGUUGGUACUGGGAGUCUUGAGUGCGGGGGAGGCAUGCGGAAUGCGGGGUGUAGCGGUGAAAUGCAUAGAUAUCGCGAAGAACCCCGAUUGCGAAGGCAGCUUGCCGUGCCGCCACUGACGCUGAGGCACGAAAGCGCGGGGAUCGAACAGGAUUAGAUACCCGGGUAGUC